rnacentral:rRNA from 1 species
GACGAACCGUCCUAACGUUAUUCGGAAUUACUGGGCUUAAAGCGCGUGUAGGCGGGGAGGCACGUCUGUCGCUUAAAUCCCACGGCUCAACCGUGGAACUGGCGUAGAUACGACCCCCCUGGAGGGGUGUAGGGGGACCUGGAACUUCCGGUGGAGCGGUGAAAUGCGUUGAGAUCGGAAGGAACGCCCGUGGCGAAAGCGAGGUCCUGGACACUUUCUGACGCUGAGACGCGAAAGCCAGGGGAGCAAACGGG